AUUGAACGCUGGCGGCAUGCCUUACACAUGCAAGUCGGACGGCAGCGCGGGCUUCGGCCUGGCGGCGAGUGGCGAACGGGUGAGUAAUACAUCGGAACGUGCCCUGGAGUGGGGGAUAGCCCGGCGAAAGCCGGAUUAAUACCGCAUACGCUCUAUGGAGGAAAGCGGGGGACCUUCAGGCCUCGCGCUCAAGGGGCGGCCGGUGGCGGAUUAGGUAGUUGGUGGGGUAAAGGCCUACCAAGCCGACGAUCCGUAGCUGGUCUGAGAGGACGACCAGCCACACUGGGACUGAGACACGGCCCAGACUCCUACGGGAGGCAGCAGUGGGGAAUUUUGGACAAUGGGGGCAACCCUGAUCCAGCAAUGCCGCGUGUGUGAAGAAGGCCUUCGGGUUGUAAAGCACUUUUGUCCGGGAAGAAAGCGCCUGCCUUAAUACGGUGGGCGGAUGACGGUACCGGAAGAAUAAGCACCGGCUAACUACGUGCCAGCAGCCGCAGUAA
rnacentral:rRNA from 1 species